UACGUAGGGGCAAGCGUUGUCCGGAAUUAUUGGGCGUAAAGAGCGUGUAGGCGGCCAGGUAGGUCUGCUGUGAAAACUCGAGGCUCAACCUCGAGACGUCGGCGGAAACCAUCUGGCUAGAGUCCGGAAGAGGAGAGUGGAAUUCCUGGUGUAGCGGUGAAAUGCGCAGAGAUCUGGAAGAACACCAAUGGCGAAGGCAGCGUCCUGGGAAGUGGACUGACGCUCAGGUGCGAAAGCUAGGGAGCGAACAGG
rnacentral:rRNA from 1 species